rnacentral:rRNA from 1 species
GAUGAACGCUGGCGGCGUGCCUAGUACAUGCAAGUCGAGCGAACAGACGAGGAGCUUGCUCCUCUGACGUUAGCGGCGGACGGGUGAGUAACACGUGGAUAACCUACCUAUAAGACUGGGAUAACUUCGGGAAACCGGAGCUAAUACCGGAUAAUAUAUUGAACCGCAUGGUUCAAUAGUGAAAGACGGUUUUGCUGUCACUUAUAGAUGGAUCCGCGCCGCAUUAGCUAGUUGGUAAGGUAACGGCUUACCAAGGCAACGAUGCGUAGCCGACCUGAGAGGGUGAUCGGCCACACUGGAACUUAGACACGUUCCAGACUCCUACGGGAGGCAGCAGUAGGGAAUCUUCCGCUAUGGGCGAAAGCCUGACGGAGCAACGCCGCGUGAUUGAUGAAGGUCUUCGGAUCGUAAAACUCUGUUAUUAGGGAAGAACAAAUGUGUAAGUAACUAUGCACGUCUUGACGGUACCUAAUCAGAAAGCCACGGCUAACUACGUG